rfam:Ixodes scapularis strain Wikel colony gcontig_1108378651180, whole genome shotgun sequence.
GCAGUCGUGGCCGAGUAAUUAAGGCGAUGGACUAGAAAUCCAUUGAAAUAUUCCCGCACAGGUUCGAAUGCUGUCGACUGCG